GGAAGGAUCAUUAUCGAAUAAACUUGAACAGGUUGUUGCUGGUCUCCUCUGGGGGAUUAUGUGCACGCUUGUCUCAUCUUUGUUAUUUCUCCAACACUGUGCACCUUUUGUAGACCCUGGAACUUUUAUGGAUUUUCUGAAAAUCCGAGUCAGGAUUGCUGUUGCUGUAAAAAGUCAGCUUUGCCUUGCAUCUCUAGGGUCUAUGUCAUUUUUCACAAACCUCAUAUGUUUAGAAUGUUGGAAAAUAUAAAUUUGAAAUAUACAACUUUCAGCAACGGAUCUCUUGGCUCUCGCAUCGAUGAAGAACGCAGCGAAAUGCGAUAAGUAAUGUGAAUUGCAGAAUUCAGUGAAUCAUCGAAUCUUUGAACGCAUCUUGCGCUCCUUGGUAUUCCGAGGAGCAUGCCUGUUUGAGUGUCAUUUAACUUCUCAACCACAUCAGAUUGAUGUUGGCUUGGAUGUGGGGGUUGUUUUUGCAGGCUUUCUGUAGAAGGUCGGCUCCCCUGAAAUGGAUUAGUGGUAUCUGAGGCUACUACUGUAGGUGUGAUAACUAUCUAUGCCUUUGGUAUGCCGCAUGAACAGAUUACACUGCUUCUAACAAAACAAAUUUUGAUAAAUUUGACCUCAAAUCAGGUAGGACUACCCGCUGAACUUAAGCAUAUCAAUAAGCGGAGGAAAAGAAACUAACAAGGAUUCCCCUAGUAACUGCGAGUGAAGCGGGAAAAGCUCAAAUUUGAAAUCUGGCGGUUCUUGAACUGUCCGAGUUGUAAUCUAGAGAAGUGUUACCUGUGCUGGACCGUGUACAAGUCUCCUGGAAUGGAGCAUCACAGAGGGUGAGAAUCCCGUCUUUGACAUGGACUGCCAGUGCGAUGUGGUACGCUCUCGAAGAGUCGAGUUGUUUGGGAAUGCAGCUCAAAAUGGGUGGUAAAUGCCAUCUAAAGCUAAAUAUUGGCGAGAGACC
rnacentral:rRNA from 1 species